rnacentral:rRNA from 1 species
GCGAGCGUUAAAUCGGAAUUACUGGGCGUAAAGCGCAUGCAGGUGGUUUGUUAAGUCAGAUGUGAAAGCCCAGGGGCUCAACCUCGGAAUUGCAUUUGAAACUGGCAAACUAGAGUACUGUAGAGGGGGUAGAAUUUCAGGUGUAGCGGUGAAAUGCGUAGAGAUCUGAAGGAAUACCCGGUGGCGAAGGCGGCCCCCUGGACAGAUACUGACACUCAGAUGCGAAAGCGUGGGGAGCAAACAGGAUUAGAUACCCUGGUAG